rnacentral:rRNA from 1 species
CGGAGGGUGCAAGCGUUGUCCGGAUUUAUUGGGUUUAAAGGGUGCGUAGGUGGCUCUAUAAGUCAGUGGUGAAAGUCUGCAGCUUAACUGUAGAACUGCCAUUGAUACUGUGGAGCUUGAGUACUGCUGAGGUAGGCGGAAUUGAUAGUGUAGCGGUGAAAUGCAUAGAUAUUAUCAAGAACACCGAUUGCGAAGGCAGCUUACUAAGGAGUUACUGACACUGAGGCACGAAAGCGUGGGGAUCAAACAGGAUUAGAUACCCUGGUAGUCCACGCCAUAAACGAUGAUUACUCGAUGUAUGCGAUAGACAGUAUGCGUCCAAGCGAAAGCGUUAAGUAAUCCACCUGGGGAGUACGACCGCAAGGUUG